rnacentral:rRNA from 1 species
GACGAACGCUGGCGGCGUGCCUAAUACAUGCAAGUCGAACGAACUCUGGUAUUGAUUGGUGCUUGCAUCAUGAUUUACAUUUGAGUGAGUGGCGAACUGGUGAGUAACACGUGGGAAACCUGCCCAGAAGCGGGGGAUAACACCUGGAAACAGAUGCUAAUACCGCAUAACAACUUGGACCGCAUGGUCCGAGUUUGAAAGAUGGCUUCGGCUAUCACUUUUGGAUGGUCCCGCGGCGUAUUAGCUAGAUGGUGGGGUAACGGCUCACCAUGGCAAUGAUACGUAGCCGACCUGAGAGGGUAAUCGGCCACAUUGGGACUGAGACACGGCCCAAACUCCUACGGGAGGCAGCAGUAGGGAAUCUUCCACAAUGGACGAAAGUCUGAUGGAGCAACGCCGCGUGAGUGAAGAAGGGUUUCGGCUCGUAAAACUCUGUUGUUAAAGAAGAACAUAUCUGAGAGUAACUGUUCAGGUAUUGACGGUAUUUAACCAGAAAGCCACGGCUAACUACGUGCCAGCAGCCGCGGUAAUACGUAGGUGGCAAGCGUUGUCCGGAUUUAUUGGGCGUAAAGCGAGCGCAGGCGGUUUUUUAAGUCUGAUGUGAAAGCCUUCGGCUCAACCGAAGAAGUGCAUCGGAAACUGGGAAACUUGAGUGCAGAAGAGGACAGUGGAACUCCAUGUGUAGCGGUGAAAUGCGUAGAUAUAUGGAAGAACACCAGUGGCGAAGGCGGCUGUCUGGUCUGUAACUGACGCUGAGGCUCGAAAGUAUGGGUAGCAAACAGGAUUAGAUACCCUGGUAGUCCAUACCGUAAACGAUGAAUGCUAAGUGUUGGAGGGUUUCCGCCCUUCAGUGCUGCAGCUAACGCAUUAAGCAUUCCGCCUGGGGAGUACGGCCGCAAGGCUGAAACUCAAAGGAAUUGACGGGGGCCCGCACAAGCGGUGGAGCAUGUGGUUUAAUUCGAAGCUACGCGAAGAACCUUACCAGGUCUUGACAUACUAUGCAAAUCUAAGAGAUUAGACGUUCCCUUCGGGGACAUGGAUACAGGUGGUGCAUGGUUGUCGUCAGCUCGUGUCGUGAGAUGUUGGGUUAAGCCCCGCAACGAGCGCAACCCUUAUUAUCAGUUGCCAGCAUUAAGUUGGGCACUCUGGUGAGACUGCCGGUGACAAACCGGAGGAAGGUGGGGAUGACGUCAAAUCAUCAUGCCCCUUAUGACCUGGGCUACACACGUGCUACAAUGGAUGGUACAACGAGUUGCGAACUCGCGAGAGUAAGCUAAUCUCUUAAAGCCAUUCUCAGUUCGGAUUGUAGGCUGCAACUCGCCUACAUGAAGUCGGAAUCGCUAGUAAUCGCGGAUCAGCAUGCCGCGGUGAAUACGUUCCCGGGCCUUGUACACACCGCCCGUCACACCAUGAGAGUUUGUAACACCCAAAGUCGGUGGGGUAACCUUUUAGGAACCAGCCGCCUAAGGUGGGACAGAUGAUUAGGGUGAAGUCGUAACAAGGUAGCCGUAG